CACUUCAUCCCUUAUCUUUCCUCCAUCAAUCCUAAUGCCACCGCCCACCGCCCAAGACCUCCAUCUCCAAGUGUUUUGCUCUGUCCUGUUCUCAUGUUCUCAAAUUUGUACUAUGAUGGAGUUUACACCUCCGUUCUAUCUCAGGUGAGCAUCCAUCAAUCUUGAUGCCAUCUGCAAAGUAUGUCGACAGCCAAACACCUCCAUCUCCGACCGUCUGUUCUCCCCUCCUUUUCUCUUGUUCUUAGCUUUGCAAUUUAGUGAAGUUUAGGAUCUCAGUGCAGCUCCUAUUCGACAGACCAAAUAAUAGAAUGCAAGCAAAGGUUCAAGAUGCAGCUAUGUUGAAAAGACAAUUAUCUCGCUUGCCCUUUUGCAAUUUUUGAUGAUUUCUUUGUGCAGUUUUCUCCCUGAUUUCAUGCUGUAUGUUUUAAGCUUGCCCAAGUGUAUCGAUAGUAGUAUUUCAGAUACAAAUUUGAGACUUUUGAUUUGAUAUAUCCGUAGUGAAUUAUCUACAA